rnacentral:lncRNA from 1 species
UCAAUACAGCCGUCACAGGUGUGGGUGGGGGGAUUGACUAGGCUUGACUAGAGUAUCCUCUCUCUCUCCCUCACUCUCUCUCUCCUCUUAUCCAUAGAAACAAAAGGGGGCCUUUCUCUCUCUCCCUUAUCCACAGAAGAAAAGGGGACCGGGCGGCGGAGGACUCGACGGCCCUCGGGAGAGGCGGCGGUGGCGGUGGGCGGCGGCUCAGCGGCGCGUGGCGGCGGCGCUGGUGCGAAGGCGAAGCGGCGAGGUGGUGCGGCGGCGCUAGGCGGCCAGCGGUGGCGGCGGUACCCCCAUCCUCCUCCCCCUUCUCUUAUUUCUCGAUCUGGUGCGUGGCGGCAGUGAGGAGGGCUCGACGGCGUGCGGACGCGGUCGCCUCCUAGAGGUCAUGGUUGACCGGAUUCGGUGGCGGCCUCCGACUCCACACGCGAGCACCGGCCGUCGUCCUCACCGUUUCGAGCACCGAUCGCCACCACCGCCGUUGAGGUUGGGGGACACUGGAUCCAGCCUCCUAGAGGUCAGGGGACGCCGGAUCCGGUCAACCCCGACCUCUAGGAGGCGACCGUGUCCGCGCCGGACAGCCUUCUCUUCCGUCCCCAAGCGCCCUCCUCCUCCAUCCUCUUGCGGCCACCGCCGUAGCUUCCUCCUCCGGAUUAAUCCACUCCCAAGUACUGAUCAAUGUGUUUAUGUGCUUACGAUUUUGUUUCAGAUGUUGCAAGUCAUCGAUUACAAGUUUCUGAAUCGGGUGUGGUCUUGUUGAAGCCCCAUGAUGUGUUGCCAAUGGAGAUUAAUUGAUUCUAGAAGAAGACCUUUGAACUUUUGUCUUGUUUUUCUUGAAGAUACUAGAGAUGUUUUUAUUGUGAUGUAGCUAGAAAAUUAGAAUCUUAACAUUUUCCCUGAAAUGCAGUGUCUCAAACCUUGUAGUUUCCCAGUAGUUUUUAGUUUUGUAGUUUGUUUUUCGGUUCCUAUUGUAAACCUUGUAAGUUCUUCGGCUUCUUGCCAUCUUUUGAAAGGAAUUAGUUUGAAAUGUUUGGGGUUAAUUAUUAGUUCUUCGGCUUCUAUUACCAAUUUUCUAUGGUUGCAACUGGGCACCAUUUUUUUAAGAUGACUUUCUAUUCCUGUGAUGGGUUCAUAUCUUGAACUCGUAGGAGGUGAGUCUCAGGUAUGACGGGUUGGAAAAUAUGCACCCGUCAAAGGUGUCUACCUGUGACGGGUUGCAACUACACAUUGGCUUGUGGAGAUCCUCACCUUUGACGGGCCGGAAAAUACGGACCCGUCAGAGGUGAGUGUGCCUCUGAUGGGCCG